rnacentral:lncRNA from 1 species
UCUUCAAGCUCUUCUGGCAGUGAUUCUGACAGUGAGGUUGACAAAAAGGGACCAGGUAUUGCUGUGUUGCUAAGGCUGGUCUCAAACUCCUGGCCUCAGGCAAUUCUUCUGCCUCAGACUCCCAAAGUGCUGGGAUUACAGUUAAAGAGGAAAAAGCAAGUUGCUCCAGAAAAACCUGUAAAGAAACAAAAGACAGGUGAGACUUCGAGAGCCCUGUCAUCUUCUAAACAGAGCAGCAGCAGCAGAGAUGAUAACAUGUUUCAGAUUGGGAAAAUGAGGUACGUUAGUGUUCGCGAUUUUAAAGGCAAAGUGCUAAUUGAUAUUAGAGAAUAUUGGAUGGAUCCUGAAGGUGAAAUGAAACCAGGAAGAAAAGGUAUUUCUUUAAAUCCAGAACAAUGGAGCCAGCUGAAGGAACAGAUUUCUGACAUUGAUGAUGCAGUAAGAAAACUGUAAAAUUCGAGC